rnacentral:rRNA from 1 species
GAUGAACGCUGGCGGCGUGCCUAAUACAUGCAAGUCGAGCGAACGGACGAGAAGCUUGCUUUUCUGAUGUUAGCGGCGGACGGGUGAGUAACACGUGGAUAACCUACCUAUAAGACUGGGAUAACUUCGGGAAACCGGAGCUAAUACCGGAUAAUAUUUUGAACCGCAUGGUUCAAAAGUGAAAGACGGUCUUGCUGUCACUUAUAGAUGGAUCCGCGCUGCAUUAGCUAGUUGGUAAGGUAACGGCUUACCAAGGCAACGAUGCAUAGCCGACCUGAGAGGGUGAUCGGCCACACUGGAACUGGGACACGGUCCAGACUCCUACGGGAGGCAGCAGUAGGGAAUCUUCUGCAAAGGGCGAAAGCCUGACGGAGCAACGCCGCGUGAGUGAUGAAGGUCUUCGGAUCGUAAAACUCUGUUAUUAGGGAAGAACAUAUGUGUAAGUAACUGUGCACAUCUUGACGGUACCUAAUCAGAAAGCCACGGCUAACUACGUG